ACAACAUCAUCUUAGAGCCCACACCUACCUUCUCUUCAAACUAGAAGAACAUACUAACAGUAGCACCUAGUGCUUACUCUAAGGAUCGAUAUUUCUGGCUAAUCACAAGAACAUGCGGAAAAUUGGAGAGUACAGGGCUACAUACUGAAUGCGAACACACAAGCGAGAGGGUGUAUCUAGCAGAGCACGCAUGCGAAGUCACAUAUAAACCCCAGGAGGAGAGAAAAACUGUAGAUUUGGGAUAUACAGAGGCUGAGUGCUCAUUUUCUAUGUCUUAAUCCGUGCUCUACGGAAGGGUGAACAGUUGACUGCAAAUCAGAGCAGAUCCGAAGGGGGGCUAAGCCCCCUACAUCUAUGUAACUCUAGUGAAAAAAGAGGUGGAGGGUAGAGGAGAAGGGAGGAGGAAUAAGAAGAGAGAAAAAUAAUCUCUCUACUAGCUUAUGCUACAUACACCACUAGUCAUUACAAAAUCAGCACUCCUUUAGCCCAUUGCUGGAUAUGCCACUGCUGGGAACGCGGAAAAUGCGCAUGCGAGGCCAUUUAUCUCAAGGACUUCUAAAUGAGAAAAAACAUGUACCAGCCAUGAGAGAGUGAGUUAGGAGAUAUUUAGUUCCCUUAACUAAAGAUUAGUUCGUGUUAUAUCAAAUGUUUGAAUAUCAAUUAUGAGUAUUAUAUAUAGGCUUUGAUUAGAUUUAAUAAAUUUGUCUCGUCUUUUAG
rnacentral:lncRNA from 7 species